GUCCCUAUAGCUCAGUUCGGAUAGAGUACCAGACUUCUAAUCUGUUGGUCGCGGGUUCAAAUCCCGCUGGGGAUA
rnacentral:tRNA from 1 species